rnacentral:tRNA from 1 species
CAGGGAGACAAAAACUGAUCUUGAUGUCUAAGUGAAUUUUUCUUAGGCCAAGAUCCUGUCACCUUAGGUCGAUCGGUACCUCAGAUUAAAUACAUUAAAGACUUUAAUUUAUUGAAGUUUUUGGAUUUAAUUUUAGUUCCUAAACUUGUCUAGGUCACACCCCGCAAGGGUUACUCCUGGGCCAUUAGCUCAGGUGGUUAGAGCGCACCCCUGAUAAGGGUGAGGUCCCUGGUUCAAGUCCAGGAUGGCCCAUUCGGUGUUGGGGGUAUAGCUCAGUUGGUAGAGCGCCUGCUUUGCAAGCAGGAUGUCAGCGGUUCGAGUCCGCUUACCUCCACUGGCCGACCCCUUUUCACGAGAAGAAAAUAGAGGGCCUUUGUGUUUGUUGUGAUUUAGAUUAUGUCCACUGAAUAUUUAGAACCUAGCCUCCUUUCAUUCCAAGUUUGAUUGCUUCAACAAGGUUGUAAGGAUGCUGGGCUCACUCCAUUCAUUAAAUGAAUAGAGAGAACCUCAGUAGAACCUUGAAAACUGCAUAGUGAGUCUGGAAAAAAUAAAGCAUCUCAUAGAUGCAUUAUUCCUUAUUUAGGGUUUAACACUCUAAUUAAAUAGGAAUAAUGUUAAUUCUUGAGCAAGAGCUGAGACUCUAAAAACCGAUCUUUAUAUGAUAAAAGUCAUAUAGAGUCUGAUUUUUAGUUAACUUAUUUUGUUUGUUUAUGAGAAAUCAUUGAUAGACAAUUUCAAGCAAAUAACUAUCAAGAAUACGCUAUCAACGGCGAAUUAAGGUUUUUAGAGGUUAAUUU